UGGGGAAUAUUGCACAAUGGGCGCAAGCCUGAUGCAGCCAUGCCGCGUGUGUGAAGAAGGCCUUCGGGUUGUAAAGCACUUUCAGCGAGGAGGAAGGUGGUGGACUUAAUACGUUCAUCAAUUGACGUUACUCGCAGAAGAAGCACCGGCUAACUCCGUGCCAGCAGCCGCGGUAAUACGGAGGGUGCAAGCGUUAAUCGGAAUUACUGGGCGUAAAGCGCACGCAGGCGGUUUGUUAAGUCAGAUGUGAAAUCCCCGGGCUCAACCUGGGAACUGCAUUUGAAACUGGCAAGCUAGAGUCUCGUAGAGGGGGGUAGAAUUCCAGGUGUAGCGGUGAAAUGCGUAGAGAUCUGGAGGAAUACCGGUGGCGAAGGCGGCCCCCUGGACGAAGACUGACGCUCAGGUGCGAAAAGCGUGGGGAGCAAAACAGGAUUAGAUACCCUGGUAGUCCACGCUGUAAAACGAUGUCGAUUUUGGAGGUUGUGCCCUUGAGGCGUGGCUUCCGGAGCUAACGCGUUAAAUCGACCGCCUGGGGAGUACGGCCGCAAGGUUAAAACUCAAAUGAAUUGACGGGGUC
rnacentral:rRNA from 1 species